ACGAAUAAACCAGACGACAUUCGAUCGUUCAAAAAAUAAAAUAAGAUCAUAAACUUUGGCGGACUUAAACCUGGAUCUUGAAAAUUUAACAAGUACGUUAGCAUGUAAAGUGAAAUAAGUGGGAAAUAGUAGGGCUCCCUGCGGAGUUUCCUUUGUAAUGGACUAUAUAACCAAGUACAUGAACCAUUGUAAGGUAUAUAUAAGUUAAUAAUGUAGGUGUUGGACUUCCGUAUCAUAACAUGGGCUGUGGUCAAAGGAAUAUACAACUUGCCAUUUGUUUGACAGUCUUUGAUUUUCUGUGCCAAUGAUAAGACUCUUUUGGAUUUAUCAUAAACACAAUGCAUUGGAAAUUUGUAAUCUUUAAUCUAGGGAUUGUCGCCCACAUUGCAGUUGGUGUCAUCUAUGGCAGGGCCGGAUGGAGAUUUGGUCGAAUUUACAGAAGAGCUGUUAAACCAUUGCGGUUAAGAUAUCUGUGGGUAGGUGAACAAGGGGAGAUAAGAACUAAACCGGGACCUGACCCUAAAAUUAUGGUAGCCGCAACUCAACAGACAUCGAGAUUAGCUCAUUAUAAGGCGGCUUUAUUAACGGGUUUGAUGACACGUCACAUGCCAGGUUCAGUAUUAGAAGACGUAGCGAAAAACAAUGGUUCAGUAGGAGUUUUUGCAGCAACUGAACGUCUAAGUGUUUGGCCUGAAUAUGCUGACCAUAGAGAUUCCGUCCAGUGUCAAGGUAAAUGUAGCGGUGUUUGUUCUGUAACCUGUUUAACUGACGGCAGAAAAAUAGAUAACCUGGUCGGUAUGGGCAGUCAGAUGGCAGUCGUCAGAGAAGAUAACCUUCUGUGUUUACCCCAAGAUCCUUACAGACACCGAGAAAAUAUUCUUGUACAUGAAUUUGCCCACACUAUCAGUUAUUAUUUAUCAAAACGAUUAAGAACGAAGAUUAAAGACGCGUAUAUUCAUGCUAAAAGAAACAGACUGUGGAACUUGGCAUCCUAUGCGAUGAGUCACCAUCUGGAAUAUUUUGCUGAAGCAACUUCAGCAUUUUUUAUGGUAUCUAGAAGAGGUAGUGCUGGUGACAUGAACAAGUGUGGUGCAACGUACUGUCGAACCGAAAUGGACGCCAGAAAACAAAUGAAACUAAUUGAUCCACAACUAUAUGCUAUUCUUUCUGAAGUUUACACGGACAAAAAUCCAGAUCAAGACAGCAAAUUAAAAACAUGUAUUUAAGUCAUAAUUUUAUUUAUUUAUUUUUUUUAUAUAACUCUGUUUUCAUUUCCUUAUUUAUAAUAAAAAAACGUAUUUUGUUUUAUUAAUAAUAUUUGUUUUAAAAAUAUUUCAUUGAUGUAAGCCAAUAAUUUUCAUAAUUGCAUCUCAUAUUUUUACUGUUCAAUUCCACAAGCGAACCAUUUUUUAUGUUUGAAAUAAAAAGUUUAUUUAAAAACAA